CAGCAGCCGCGGUAAUACGGAGGGUGCGAGCGUUAAUCGGAAUAACUGGGCGUAAAGGGCACGCAGGCGGUGACUUAAGUGAGGUGUGAAAGCCCCGGGCUUAACCUGGGAAUUGCAUUUCAUACUGGGUCGCUAGAGUACUUUAGGGAGGGGUAGAAUUCCACGUGUAGCGGUGAAAUGCGUAGAGAUGUGGAGGAAUACCGAAGGCGAAGGCAGCCCCUUGGGAAUGUACUGACGCUCAUGUGCGAAAGCGUGGGGAGCAAACAGGAUUAGAUACCCGAGUAGUCCCUGUCUCUUAUAC
rnacentral:rRNA from 1 species